rnacentral:rRNA from 1 species
GAACGCUGGCGGCGUGCUUAACACAUGCAAGUCGAGCGGAAAGGCCCUUCGGGGUACUCGAGCGGCGAACGGGUGAGUAACACGUGAGUAACCUGCCCCUGACUCUGGGAUAAGCCCGGGAAACUGGGUCUAAUACCGGAUACGACCACUUCUCGCAUGGGAUGGUGGUGGAAAGUUUUUUCGGUUGGGGAUGGACUCGCGGCCUAUCAGCUUGUUGGUGGGGUAGUGGCCUACCAAGGCGACGACGGGUAGCCGGCCUGAGAGGGCGACCGGCCACACUGGGACUGAGACACGGCCCAGACUCCUACGGGAGGCAGCAGUGGGGAAUAUUGCGCAAUGGGCGAAAGCCUGACGCAGCGACGCCGCGUGGGGGAUGACGGCCUUCGGGUUGUAAACCUCUUUCAGCAGGGACGAAGUUGACGUGUACCUGCAGAAGAAGCGCCGGCUAACUACGUGCCAGCAGCCGCGGUAAUACGUAGGGCGCAAGCGUUGUCCGGAAUUAUUGGGCGUAAAGAGCUCGUAGGUGGCUU